GACGAACGCUGGCGGCGCGCUUAACACAUGCAAGUCGUGCGGUACCGAUGGCAAGUCUUCUUGACGAGCCUUCGGUAUAGCGGCGGACGGGUGAGUAACACGUGAGUAGCUGUCCUAGGGAGGGGGAUAACGCCUGGAAACGGGUGCUAAAACCCCAUAAGCCUCGAAAGAGGUAAAAGUGCAUCACUGCAGUCCUAGGGUGUGCUCGCGGCCUAUCAGCUAGUUGGUGAGGUAAGGGCUCACCAAGGCCAAGACGGGUAGCCGGCCUGAGAGGGUGUACGGCCACACUGGGACUGAGGCACGGCCCAGACUCCUACGGGGGCAGCAGUAGGGAAUCUUCGGCAAUGGGCGGAAGCCUGACCGAGCGACGCCGCGUGAGGGACGAAGGCCUUCGGGUUGUAAACCUCUGUCUGGGGGACGAGUAAGGACGGUACCCCGGAGGAAGCCCGGCUAACUACGUG
rnacentral:rRNA from 1 species